CCUACGGGCGGCAGCAGUGGGGAAUAUUGGACAAUGGGCGAAAGCCUGAUCCAGCCAUGCCGCGUGUGUGAAGAAGGCCUUCGGGUUGUAAAGCACUUUCAGUGGGGAAGAAAGCCUUGGGGCUAAUACCCUCGAGGAAGGACAUCACCCACAGAAGAAGCACCGGCUAACUCCGUGCCAGCAGCCGCGGUAAUACGGAGGGUGCGAGCGUUAAUCGGAAUUACUGGGCGUAAAGCGCGCGUAGGCGGUCUGAUAAGCCGGUUGUGAAAGCCCCGGGCUCAACCUGGGAACGGCAUCCGGAACUGUCAGGCUAGAGUGCAGGAGAGGAAGGUAGAAUUCCCGGUGGAGCGGUGAAAUGCGUAGAGAUCGGGAGGAAUACCAGUGGCGAAGGCGGCCUUCUGGACUGACACUGACGCUGAGGUGCGAAAGCGUGGGUAGCAAACAGGAUUAGAUACCCGUGUAGUC
rnacentral:rRNA from 1 species